rnacentral:rRNA from 1 species
GGGUUAUAUGGUCAAGCGAAUAAGCG